rnacentral:rRNA from 1 species
UUACUCCUACGGGAGGCAGCAGUGGGGAAUAUUGCACAAUGGAGGGAACUCUGAUGCAGCGACGCCGCGUGAGUGAUGAAGUAUUUCGGUAUGUAAAGCUCUUUCAGCAGGGAAGAUAAUGACGGUACCUGCAUAAGAAGCCCCGGCUAACUACGUGCCAGCAGCCGCGGUAAUAA